GAUGAACGCUGGCGGCGUGCCUAAUACAUGCAAGUCGAGCGAACAGACGAGGAGCUUGCUCCUCUGACGUUAGCGGCGGACGGGUGAGUAACACGUGGAUAACCUACCUAUAAGACUGGGAUAACUUCGGGAAACCGGAGCUAAUACCGGAUAAUAUAUUGAACCGCAUGGUUCAAUAGUGAAAGACGGUUUUGCUGUCACUUAUAGAUGGAUCCGCGCCGCAUUAGCUAGUUGGUAAGGUAACGGCUUACCAAGGCAACGAUGCGUAGCCGACCUGAGAGGGUGAUCGGCCACACUGGAACUGAGACACGGCCCAGACUCCUACGGGAGGCAGCAGUAGGGAAUCUUCCGCAAUGGGCGAAAGCCUGACGGAGCAACGCCGCGUGAGUGACGAAGGUCUUCGGAUCGUAAAACUCUGUUAUUAGGGAAGAACAAAUGUGUAAGUAACUAUGCACGUCUUGACGGUACCUAAUCAGAAAGCCACGGCUAACUACGUG
rnacentral:rRNA from 1 species